rnacentral:rRNA from 1 species
GACGAACGCUGGCGGCGUGCUUAACACAUGCAAGUCGAACGGAAAGGCCCUGCUUUUGUGGGGUGCUCGAGUGGCGAACGGGUGAGUAACACGUGAGUAACCUGCCCUUGACUUUGGGAUACCUUCAGGAAACUGGGGCUAAUACCGGAUAGGAGCUCCUGCUCCAUGGUGGGGGUUGGAAAGUUUCGGCGGUUGGGGAUGGACUCGCGGCUUCUCAGGUUGUUUGGGGGGUAGUGGCUUACCCAGGCAUUGGCGGGUAGCCGGCCUGAGAGGGUGACCGGCCACAUUGGGACUGGGAUACGGCCCAGCCUCCUACGGGAGGCAGCGGUGGGGAGUAUUGCACAAUGGGCGGAAGCCUGAUGCAGCACCGCCGCGUGCGGGAUGACGGCCUUCGGGUUGUAAACCGCUUUCGCCUGUGACGAAGCGUGAGUGACGGUAAUGGGUAAAGAAGCACCGGCUAACUACGUG